GCUUGAAGCGACAGAUUCAGUGUGAACGAAUGCAGAGCGACGCAGCUCUCUGCUGUCGUUCACCAGCACACACGCUUCAAACCACCCUGAACAUGCAUGAAGGGCAGAGGAACAGGGGACUGAGGCAUGAUGGGAAACGACUGAAAGCGGGAGCUGUGUUUUAUUGUGAGAGGAUCUGACGUCUGGAGCACAGCUCUGAUCUGAACCGUCCUCCAGUCCAUGUGUCAGGCCCGGAGCGUGUGUUUUAUGGUUUCUCAUAACCUCUGCGUGUCUGCUGGUUUGUGGAGAGGUUAUUUGGGGUGAGUUAUCAUCCACUCUGCUCCGGUCCAGACCCGUUUACACCGCUCUUUCAGUUACAAACUUCCUUCUGUGCGCUCACAAAUACAAAUAUCUGUAAUUUAAUACACCAAUAAACUCGAAGGCGUUUGCA
ensembl:lncRNA